CCAAGUAGAAGAAACUUCAGGGAAUGCAAAUUAAAUGGAUAUAAGAGGCAAAACAAUAAAGGCAAGGAGAGGAAUUGGUAGAGUCAGGGCAUAGUUACAAUGGCCUCAUCUUCUGCUCAAGGAGAGUAUCUGAAGUGGGCAUCAAACCCUGGGGAAAGCUGGUGUUGUUGAUUCGAUAUGUGAACACUUGGACUCUUUCAUGGCUGGAUCAAAAUUUUUCUCAGAAGAAUAGAUAGGUA
rnacentral:lncRNA from 1 species